rnacentral:rRNA from 1 species
GUUUGUGGCAUAGGACCAUCUGUCGCUGCUACUACUAAGAUUGCACCAUCCAUUUGUGCCGCACCGGUAAUCAUGUUUUUAACA